GAGGGUGUAGCUCAGUGGUAGAGCACUAGCCUACCAUCCACUAGGGCUCUGGGUUCUAUCCCCAGUAGACACA
rnacentral:tRNA from 1 species